rnacentral:sRNA from 1 species
CCACUUCAAUUUGCUGGGGACAAAUAAAGUGAAUGUGUGCGUCCACCCCGCCGGGAGUGACAAUAAGCCCUUCUCCGGCAACAACCUCAGUAGAAGCUCCGAUAAUCAGGUUACCAUCCACCCCGUCCAUUAAAUUAGGGUUCCCGGCCUUACCAAUCCCGGCAAUUUUACCGUCCCUGAUGCCAAUGUCGGCUUUAACAAUACCCCAGUAGUCCAAAAUCAAGGCAUUGGUGAUCACUAAAUCCAAGGCCCCUUCUGCCCUGGUAGCAUUAGGGGUUUGCCCCAUGCCGUCCCUGA